GACGAACGCUGGCGGCGUGCUUAACACAUGCAAGUCGAACGGAAAGGCCCUGCUUUUGUGGGGUGCUCGAGUGGCGAACGGGUGAGUAACACGUGAGUAACCUGCCCUUGACUUUGGGAUAACUUCAGGAAACUGGGGCUAAUACCGGAUAGGAGCUCCUGCUGCAUGGUGGGGGUUGGAAAGUUUCGGCGGUUGGGGAUGGACUCGAGGCUUAUCAGCUUGUUGGUGGGGUAGUGGCUGACCAAGGCUUUGACGGGUAGCCGGCCUGAGAGGGUGACCGGCCACAUUGGGACUGAGAUACGGCCCAGACUCCUACGGGAGGCAGCAGUGGGGAAUAUUGCACAAUGGGCGGAAGCCUGAUGCAGCAACGCCGCGUGCGGGAUGACGGCCUUCGGGUUGUAAACCGCUUUCGCCUGUGACGAAGCGUGAGUGACGGUAAUGGGUAAAGAAGCACCGGCUAACUACGUG
rnacentral:rRNA from 1 species